rnacentral:misc_RNA from 1 species
GGAGAUCCAAAUUUGUAUACUUCACAGAUAUUUCCAUUUGUGUUUAGCUAUCUACCUCUCGACCAUGUCUAACCAAGCCGAAUCCUCUGAUUCUAAGGGAACGAAGAGGGAUUUUAGUACUGCGAUUUUGGAGCGCAAGAAGGCUCCGAACCGGCUCGUUGUUGAUGAGGCUACCAAUGAUGAUAACUCGGUUGUCUCUCUCCACCCCGAUACCAUGGAGAAGCUCCAGCUCUUUCGGGGUGACACGAUCUUAAUUAAGGGGCCUUCGUAUUGUUAAGCGUUAUGUAGUCAGCUUGUUGGCCAUCAAAGUUGGCUAGUGACAUGAUUUAUGGGCGCACUAAAAUAAAUUUCUACAAUGGGGAUGUAACUCUUUUUGUUGUUUCAUAUUUUGGCUGUUUUUGUUUUGCAAUCUAACUGUCUCACGGAAAAUUGUAGAUGUAUUUCACAAAUGUGUUACUUUGUGUCUGUUAGGGUAAGAAAAGGAAAGAUACAAUCUGCAUUGCGCUUGCUGAUGACACAUGUGAUGAGCCAAAGAUCAGGAUGAACAAGGUUGUGAGGUCGAACUUGAGGGUUAGGCUUGGAGAUGUUGUCUCUGUGCACCAAUGUCCUGAUGUCAAAUAUGGAAAGCGUGUUCACAUACUGCCAAUUGAUGACACCAUUGAAGGUGUUACUGGGAAUCUGUUUGAUGCAUACCUCAAACCUUAUUUCUUAGAGGCUUACAGGCCUGUGAGGAAAGGGGAUCUUUUCCUUGUCAGAGGAGGGAUGAGAAGUGUAGAGUUCAAGGUCAUAGAUACUGAUCCAGGAGAGUAUUGUGUGGUUGCUCCAGAUACUGAGAUUUUCUGUGAGGGGGAACCUGUGAGAAGGGAGGAUGAGGACAGGCUGGAUGAAGUGGGAUAUGAUGAUGUUGGUGGUGUUCGGAAGCAGAUGGCUCAGAUUCGCGAGUUAGUGGAGCUGCCACUGAGGCAUCCUCAACUUUUCAAGUCAAUUGGUGUGAAGCCACCAAAAGGAAUUUUGCUUUAUGGACCCCCAGGUUCGGGAAAGACAUUGAUAGCUCGAGCUGUUGCUAAUGAAACUGGUGCAUUUUUCUUUUGUAUAAAUGGGCCAGAGAUAAUGUCCAAAUUGGCUGGAGAGAGUGAAAGCAAUCUGAGAAAGGCAUUUGAAGAAGCUGAGAAGAAUGCUCCUUCUAUCAUCUUUAUUGACGAGAUUGAUUCAAUUGCUCCCAAGCGCGAAAAGACUCAUGGUGAGGUUGAAAGACGGAUUGUCUCACAGCUUUUAACUCUUAUGGAUGGGCUCAAAUCUCGGGCACAUGUUAUUGUCAUUGGGGCUACUAAUCGUCCAAAUAGUAUUGACCCAGCAUUGAGAAGGUUUGGAAGGUUUGAUAGGGAGAUAGACAUUGGUGUCCCAGAUGAAGUUGGGCGCCUUGAAGUUUUACGAAUCCAUACAAAGAAUAUGAAACUCUCUGAUGAGGUUGAUCUGGAAAGGAUUGCAAAAGAUACCCAUGGUUAUGUUGGUGCUGACCUUGCUGCCCUAUGUACUGAAGCUGCACUCCAGUGCAUCAGAGAGAAGAUGGAUGUGAUUGACUUGGAGGAUGACUCUAUUGAUGCUGAGAUACUUAAUUCCAUGGCUGUUACAAAUGAGCACUUCCAAACUGCCCUUGGAACUAGCAACCCAUCUGCUUUACGUGAAACAGUUGUUGAAGUGCCCAAUGUUAGCUGGGAUGACAUUGGUGGUCUCGAGAAUGUUAAGCGGGAGCUUCAAGAGACUGUUCAAUAUCCAGUGGAGCAUCCUGAGAAAUUUGAGAAGUUUGGAAUGUCACCCUCUAAGGGGGUUCUUUUCUAUGGCCCUCCUGGAUGUGGGAAAACUCUUCUGGCUAAAGCUAUUGCAAAUGAAUGCCAGGCAAAUUUCAUCAGUGUCAAGGGUCCUGAGUUGCUUACAAUGUGGUUUGGUGAGAGUGAAGCCAAUGUGAGAGAAAUUUUUGAUAAGGCUCGCCAAUCUGCUCCUUGUGUCCUCUUUUUUGACGAACUUGACUCAAUUGCUACUCAGAGAGGAAGCAGUGUAGGAGAUGCUGGGGGUGCUGCUGAUAGGGUUUUGAACCAACUUCUGACAGAGAUGGAUGGCAUGUCUGCAAAGAAAACUGUUUUUAUAAUUGGAGCCACUAAUAGACCUGACAUCAUUGAUCCUGCACUUUUGCGUCCUGGCCGUCUUGAUCAGUUGAUUUAUAUCCCUCUUCCUGAUGAGGAUUCUCGUCAUCAAAUUUUCAAGGCUUGCUUGAGGAAAUCACCAGUUUCCAAAGAUGUUGAUCUGAGAGCACUUGCCAAGUAUACUCAGGGCUUCAGUGGUGCUGAUAUUACUGAGAUUUGCCAGCGUGCUUGCAAAUAUGCUAUUAGAGAGAACAUUGAAAAGGAUAUUGAGAGGGAAAGGAGGCGUAGAGAGAACCCAGAAGCAAUGGAGGAAGAUGUUGAGGAUGAUGUGGCAGAGAUCAAGGCAGCACAUUUUGAGG